rnacentral:rRNA from 1 species
UACGGAGGGUGCAAGCGUUAAUCGGAAUUACUGGGCGUAAGGCGCACGCAGGCGGUCAAUUAAGUCAGAUGUGAAAGCCCCGGGCUUAACCUGGGAAUUGCAUUUCAGACUGGGGGUCUAGAGUACUUUAGGGAGGGGUAGAAUUCCACGUGUAGCGGUGAAAUGCGUAGAGAUGUGGAGGAAUACCGAAGGCGAAGGCAGCCCCUUGGGAAUGUACUGACGCUCAUGUGCGAAAGCGUGGGGGGCAAACAGG